rnacentral:rRNA from 1 species
AACGAACGCUGGCGGCAUGCUUAACACAUGCCAGUCGAACGAGACCAUCGGGUCUUGCUGCGCACGGGUGCUUAACGCGUGGUAACUUGCCCUUAGGCUCGGUAUCACUCACCGCAAGGUGUGCUCAGACCGGUUAAUGUCUUCGGACCAAAGAUGUAUCGCCUUUGGCUGGGCCCGCGUUGGAUUAGCUAGUUGGUAGGGUAAAAGCCUACCAAGGCGACGAUCCAUAGCUGGCCGGAGAGGAUGCUCAGUCACACUGGGGCUACGACACGGCCCAGACGCCUACGGGAGGCAGCAGUGGAGAAUAUUGGAGGCUGGGCGAAAGCCUGAUCCAGCCGUGCCGCGUGAGUGGUGAAGGCGGUAGGGUUGUAAAGCUCUUUUACACGAGGUGAUAAUGACGGUACCGGGAGAAUAAGCGCCGGCUAACUACGUG